rnacentral:misc_RNA from 1 species
GAACUGCGAUAAGUAAUGUGAAUUGCAGAAUUCAGUGAAUCAUCGAGUCUUUGAACGCACAUUGCGCCCCCUGGCAUUCCGGGGGGCAUGCCUGUCCGAGCGUCAUUGCUGCCCUUCAAGCCCGGCUUGUGUGUUGGGUCGUCGUCCCCUCCGGGGGACGGGCCCGAAAGGCAGCGGCGGCACCGCGUCCGGUCCUCGAGCGUAUGGGGCUUUGUCACCCGCUCGAUAAGGACCAGCCGGGCGCCAGCCGGCGUCUCCAACCUUUUUUUCUCAGGUUGACCUCGGAUCAGGUAGGGAUACCCGCUGAACUUAAGC